GCCGGGUGCGGUGGCAUGUGCCUGUAAUCCAAGUCACUGGGAGGCUGAGGUUGGUGGAUCAAGUGAGCUGAGGAGCUCUGGGCUGCAGCACACUAUGUGGAACGGGUGUCCACGCUAAGUUCGGUAUCGAUAUGGUGUUCCAGGGGGAGCCCGGGACCACCAGGUUGUCUAAGGAGGGGUGAACCGGCCCAGGUCGGAAACGAAGCAGGUCAAAUCCCCCGUGCUGUCCAGUUGGAUAAUACCUGUGAGUAGAUGCUGCAGUGCAGCCUUGUUGGCAAAACAUCGGAUAAUCUUUC
rnacentral:SRP_RNA from 1 species